rnacentral:lncRNA from 1 species
AAUAUAAUUUAGAUAAAUAUGGUAAAUUUGUAUAAUCUUUCUUUUGAUAUAUUAUGAACUUUUGGUAGAUGAUGUUCCUUUCUUGGCUGCAUAAAUACUUCUUGUUCUUCCUUUUCUUUAUCAAGGUCUAUCACCUCUCCAUAGUCAUGUUGACUCACUGGCAAGUGUACCAGAUCAUGCAAGUAAUAUAAUCGGUAAUGUCUGAUAUCGUUCUUUCCAAGAGACUCGAAAGGAUCGUUCGUGUGAAUCAAAAUCGUAAGACUUGCAGAAAAAGAUUAAUUGUGGUGGAUGCAAAGACAGAAAAUAAACAUGCAAUGUGUUGAUUCAAUUGACGAAAAAUGCUUUGGAUGAAUGGAGUUGUUGGGGGUUUACAAUUUCAUCUAAUUCGCUCUCUCUUAUCUACUCCUCUUGUUUAAUGUGCUUGAUUAUCUAAUUGUUAUGCAAACUUUCUUGGCCUACCCUUAACCCGAUCCCUCGGCGAAAAGAGCCUAUUACUAAUUACCGGCUUGCUAUCCCUAGCCUCCCCUAGCAAUUAGCAAUGCAUUACCGAACAGAAGCAAAGACAAUUG